rnacentral:ncRNA from 1 species
UAGUGGGGUAGAGGCUAAGAACUUCGUCCUGUAUGUGGGCACCUGGGACGAAGGAAGCCAAUGGUGCGACCGACUACCAAGGUC